UUCUUUUACCUCCUGAAGCACUCCCAGUCAUUUUCCCCCCAACUCAAAGAAAAGCAAGCUCAAUCCUCCACAGAUCCAGCAGUAGUCAAGCAAUCUAACCUUCACACCCACAAAAUCGAAAUCUCCUGCCUCAGAUCCACCCAAAUCAGUCAAAGAUGUCUCUCUGUUGGCCCCCAUUUGAGCAGAUCUAAUCCUCCAAAAAUCCCCUCUCCAUCUACUAGCUUGUGAUCUACUAGCUUUGAAAAUUCACGGGUCCUCCUGUUAAUCAAGCUGUUGAUUCUCUGCUGCAUCCAGAUUACGUUUCACUCCAUCGAGUGAAUCCUACUUCUGGCCCAAGGCUCUUCUGCUCUCUUCUCUUUGAGUGGAACAAAUAGACAUACACUGAAAAGCUUCUGCACUUAUUUGGGACGAGAGAACGAAAGGCAGUGGUAUCAAUAAUCAUUUACAGUUUAAUCUAGACAAGGAGGAAAUUAAUUAAGAAGAUUAACCAUGUCACUAGAAGAAGAGCGCAGUUGGAUGUAUAGUGGGUGGAGUGAUGACGGACGACACUCUCAGGAGUGGAUGCGCAACACAAAUAAUUUUUUGGCUCAUGCUUUUCAAGGUGUUCGUAAUGCUAAGUUUGGAAUUCCCUGUCCUUGCUCAAAAUGUCGCAAUGGAGUCAGGCGAACAAAAAAUUUAAUGACCACUCAUCUUUGUCAAUGGGGGUUCAUGCCUGGCUAUUUUAGAUGGACUGAACAUGGGGAAAGACAUGUUGGGGUGUCUAGAAUAGAGGAGACUUAUAGUGCCGCUGACCGCUUAGAUGACAUGUUGGGUGACUUUGGGGAUGCAGUUCAUAUUGAUAAUAUAGAUGAGGAGCCCACUGCAGAUGCCAAAGCGUUCUAUUCCAUGUUGUCAGCCGCACAAGAUCCGGUUCACAAUUUAACUUUAGUAUCACGUUUAACUGCAGUAACACGUUUGAUGGGCAUUAAGUCACAGCAUAAUCUUGUACUUAGCUUGUUUGGAGAUGUUCUGCCACAAGGACAUAUCAUGCCAUCUACAUUAUAUGAGUGUAUGUGUCUUUUAAAAGGACUCAAAAUGCCAUAUGUGAAGAUUGAUGCUUGCUAUAAUAAUUGUAUGCUGUACUAUAAGGAGAACAGUGACAAAGAGUACUGUGAUUUCUGUGGGGAACCUCGGUAUGAAAUUGUUCAAGAGGAAAACACAGGUAGAAAGCGUAAACCAAUUCCACGAAAAGUUUUACGUUACCUCCCAUUUAUACCAAGAUUGCAAAGGAUGUACAUGGAGCCGGAAACUGCAAAGCAUAUGCAGUUUCAUAAGGAAGGGAAACGCGUUAAUCCAGGACUUAUGGUGCAUCCAUCUGAUGGUGAGGCAUGGAAAGAAUUUGAUAAGAUCUUUGCUAACUUUGCAAUGGAUGCACGUAAUGUUCGUGUUGUAUUAGCUACAGAUGGCUUCAAUCCAUUUAGUUUUGGAGCUACACAAUAUUCUUGUUGGCCAGUUUUUGUGGCACCUUUGAACUUACCUCCGUCUCUCUGUUUAAAACCAGAAAAUAUAUUUCUUAGUCUAGUGAUCCCUGGACCAAAGCAUCCUGGCAAGAACAUGAACGUUUUCAUGAGACCACUAGUUGAUGAGUUAAAGGAGGCAUGGCAAGGGGUACAGACUUAUGAUAGCUCUCUCAAGCAAAAUUUCAACAUGAGGGUGACCUAUUUUUUCUCUGUACAUGACCAUCCUGCAUUAGGCAUGUUUUCUGGAUGGUCUACACAUGGUAGCUUGGCUUGUCAAGAAUGUAUGGGGGAUAUUCAUACAAUUUGGCUAGACAAAGGGCACAAGUAUAGCUGGUUUGAUUGUCAUAGAAGAUUUCUUCCCCUUGACCAUGAGUUUAGGGAGCAGCAUAAUACAUUUCGAAAAGAGACAACAGUGCAUGACAUGCCUCCACAUAGGUUAAAUGGGGAAGAGGUGCUAGCAUAUAUGAAUAAUAUCAAAGAAAACUCAUUUGAGGGUUAUGGCGAGACACACAAUUGGACACACAUUCCUAUCUUGUGGGAGCUGCCAUAUUUCCCUAAACUUUUGCUUCGACAUAACAUCGACGUCAUGCAUAAUGAGAAAAAUGUUGCUGAAGCAAUUUUUAAUACAUGCCUUGAUAUUCCCAAUAAGACUAAGGACAAUAUCAAAGCUCGCCUUGACCAAGCUGAAAUAUGCAAUAGAAGUCAUCUAAACCUUGUAGAAAAACCAAAUAACAAGUGGGAGAAGCCUAUUGCAUCAUUUUGCUUAACAAGGGCCCAAAAGAAGGAUGUAAUGAAAUGGAUUAUGGAGCUCAAAUUUCCAGAUGGGUAUGCAGCCAACAUAAGGAGAGGGGUUAACAUUGAGCAAUUAAAAAUACAUGGUCUCAAAAGUCAUGACUACCAUAUAUUUCUUGAGCGGCUAUUGCCUGUUAUGCUUCGAGGGUUUGUACAUAAUGAUGUUUGGGAGGUAUUAGCCGAGCUAAGUUAUUUUUAUAGAUUGCUUUGUUCCAAAGAAAUAGAUUCUGUCCAGAUGCUGAAAUUGGAGGCAGACAUUCCUGUCAUAAUUUGCAAAUUAGAGAAAAUUUUUCCCCCAGGGUUCUUUAAUCCAAUGGAACAUCUAAUGAUACACCUUCCUUAUCAAGCAAGAAUUGGAGGUCCUGUUCAAUAUCGUUGGAUGUAUAAUUAUAAGAGGUUCAUAAAAAAGGUUAGACAAAAAGUUCGCAAUAAGGCACGUGUUGAAGGAUCAAUUGUUGAGUCCUAUCUUGUUGACGAAAUUUCAAGCUUCACUUCCCUGUACCUUCCUGAAACUAUAUCUAACUCACGAAAUCAACCUCACCGCUAUGCUCAACAUUCUGUUAUGAGCACAAGUAGCCUAAGCUUAUUCCAAGUUAGGGGAUGGAAGGUUGGAAGAGGGAUAUCUAGAGUGUUAACUAUGGAAGAAUACAAGACAGCAAUGAUAUAUAUUUUGACAAACAUGGUUGAAAUGGAUGAGAUUAUGAAAAAAUUUGAACGUGAACAAUGGAGGCGCUCGAGACCACCAAAUCAAAAGGAAUUAGAUAGAUUAAGGCGAGAUGGAGAUGGUAAUAAUAAACCCAGCUUGCUGGAUUGGUUCAAAACUUUGUGCAUCAAGGAUGCAAGCAUAUGUAAUGAAUUGCGCCACAUUUCACGAGGAUGUAGCUUAAAAGUUAAGUCAUAUGACAUGUAUGAAGUUAAUGGGUACAGAUUUCGAUUUGAGAAGUAUGAAAAAUCUAGGGGGAAGCUUGCUACUAUUAAUACUGGGGUACUUGCUAUGGGAGUUGACGAUAUUACUAAUGAUGAGCUUGAGUAUUAUGGUUUUAUCAAGGACAUUAUAGAGCUCAAAUUUGAUGGUGAUAAUGAGUUUGCUCUUGUGUUGUUUGAGUGCCAUUGGUUCCACCCAACUAAUGGAGUGAGACACUUGAACAGAUUUGGAUUAGUCGAGGUAGCACAUGCAUCAUCCAAUCCUACCAAUGAGCCUUUUGUUCUUGCUAACCAAGUAACCCAAGUUUAUUAUGUUCCAUAUGCAUGCACUUCUGAUGAAACUCUUAAUGCAUGGUGGGUUGCCUACAAGGUGGCACCUCUAGGUAGUGUACCAACUCCCUCAAUGGAUGAUUACAGUGAUGCACCUCAAACAACUAUAGAUGUCUUUCAAGAAGAUGGUUUGCAAGGUGACUUAUUUGUACAACUAGAAUUUGGCCUUGAUAACAUUGCACCUCGAGGUUCAGAUGAGGUUGAUGACCCAGAUGAUUUGUUUGUCCUAACGAAUCAAGAACAUUCUGGUAGUAUAGGGCAUGAUCAUCCAUCUGAUAAAGACGAAGAAAACAUGUCUGAUACAGAAUCAUGUCCUGAAAUAUAUGUUGAAAAUUACCAAGAAGACAUUGAUGAUUUGUAAUUUUAUAUUUUAGUAUUGGUAUUAUAAAUAUAUAUUGAUGACACUUGGAAGAAGGCAAUGCCGUCCUAUCGAGAACUCAGUAGCUAUUGAGAAUCUUAUUGAGGAUGAGGGUUACUUACGGGGUCUUUUUGAACUUCCACCUGCUAUUCCUAAUGAGAAAGAUCGCCCAUUGAUUGAACCUGAUGGCAAUACCCACUGGAUUGAACUCCCUAUAUUACAUAAAGGCCGGAAGCCAGCAAGUGUAUUGUCAUGUCUCCUAAGGGAAUAUCAUCCUGGAAUUGUUAACUACAAAGGAAAAACAUUGGUGGCAAAGAAAUGGCUGCAUUAUGAAGCUCAAAAGGACACAAGUGGCCGUUCUGUUGCCAAUGAAGUUGAAGAUAAUUUCUGGCUAAGGUUUAGGUGUGAACCUCAGCAGAAGCUGCAAGACAACAUGUUGGAAGGUGCUGCAAGGUUCUCAUCACAAGUGUCAUGUACUAUGCUAGGAUCAAUGCCAUAAUAGACCACUGUCGCAAAGUUGAAAAACAAAAAAAGAUAUCAGACAAGGCUGCUGGGCACUGUUAUCUACUAAGAAAUGAGUACAUAGCACAAAAACCUAAAUGGUGCACUCAGGAGGCUUGGGCUGUUCUAGUUGAUGAAUGGUGUGAUCCUUCCUGGAUUAAAAAAUCAGAGAAAAGUCAUGCCAAUAGAACCAGCUCAAAAUAUAAGCCUCAUAAGGGUGGUUCUAACUCCAUUGCGACAAUAAGACAAAAAAUGUCUAUGAGAGAAGGGCGGGACAUAAGUAAGAUUGAGGCGUGGGUCUACACACAUAGAGGGGCCGAUCCAAAUAACCCUGAUGAACUGAACACUGAGGAAGCCACCGAGUGUCUGAAGGAUUAUAGAACAAAUGUUGCUAGAUUACGUGGGAAAGAAUACAAUUGGAAGAAUAAUCCUGUUGAUCCUCAAGCUCUAUACAAUUGCUCUGCCAGGAAGGGACAUGGUAGAUGGGCAACAUUUAAUGGGCUUAUUAAUGAUAAAGAGGCUAUUGAUGAGGUUAGAGUUGGUAGAGCUUCCUCCGUUGUUCGUAAGCGUCUUUGUCAAGAACAAGAUGAAAAUGAGAAAAGAAGGCAGUCUGAAAAGAUUCGGAGAACAGAGGAUCAUGCUAAGAGUGUCUUAUCAUGGGGUUUAGGCUUGUAUGAUCAUUGCAAUGGCAUGCAUAAGCUUCUUGUGACUCUUGCUACCAACCAAGGUGUUCCUGCUAAUGAAAUUCCACCUCCAUUUCCUCCACCACCAUCUCCUCCAGGCUCUCCCAAUGAAUCUCCUAUUCUUCAUGAUCAUAACAUGAUUGCCCUUGUUGAACUGGAAAACCAAGAGAGUGCAUUCAAUGUGGUUGCUAAAGGAAUGUUCGGAGGCUACUUAAGUGCAAUGUGCAACGAAGCAGAAAGUUCCUCUCCAAAUUUGGAUGAUGAAAUUGACCCAUUCUGAUUUAGUCUCCUUUAAAAUAUUAAAACUUGUUAGCUACUUAAUUAGUAUUUUUUUGGUCCCUUGUGGACAAUUACUCUGCUUUAGCAACUCUAGCUAAUGCAGGUAAUGAUUAUUAUUCUUUUGGUCCCUUGUGGACAAGCAUUCUGCUUUAGCAAGUCUAGCUAAUGCAAGGAAUGAAUCUACGCUACAUGAUGAUCUUUUGCUGGAUUGUAGCCAACAUGAAAAUGUUGCAUAGGAGUAAAUUCUAUACAUGUAAUAGGAUAAAUUAGUUGAGACUAUCAAACCCAGUGGCAUUACUGAAUUUGGACUUGAGUGUCGUAUGGCUAAUUGAUCUAACAUGUUUUUACAUAUGUGUGUAUUAAUUUCAUUAUUAAUAAAAUACCACUUUUA